AUCCUGCCAACCAAUUUUUUUUUUCUUGCAUCCUUAAUAACUAUAUGAAUUUGCAUUUUUGAUGGUAGGGAAGCCUUCUUCUACAAAGAAACAAGCAGAUCUUUUGUUCCCCCCAGAUUUUGCCGAAGACUUUCCAGUUGCAAUGCAGAUAUCCCACAAAUACAGUUUGAUCUACGUGAUCACCAAGCUUGGGCUAUUAUUUGUUUAUGACUUGGAGAUCGCUUUUGCAGUUUAUAGAAAUAGAAUCUGUCCAGAUCCAAUGUUUUUGACAGCAGCCUUCACCAGUGAGAGGUUUUUUAUGCAAUCAAUAGGCAUGGACAGGUGUUAUUGGCCACUGUAAAUGAUCAAACAAUUGUACCAUUUGUCGUGGCCAGUUGAACAAUUUGGAGCUUGCUGUCAAUCUUGCCAAAGAGGGAAUCUUCCUGGAGCAGAGCAGCUUGCUGUC